GCCUUCGUGGUGUAAUGGUUAGCACACUGGGCCGAUAUUCAAGAGGUCCGUGGUUCGAUUCCCGGCGAAGGCG